rnacentral:rRNA from 1 species
UACAGAGAGUGCAAGCGUUAAUCGGAAUCAUUGGGCGUAAAGCGCGCGUAGGUGGAUAUUUAAGUCGGAUGUGAAAGCCCUAGGCUUAACCUGGGAACUGCAUUCGAUACUGGAUAUCUUGAGUCUGGUAGAGGGAAGUGGAAUUUCCGGUGUAGCGGUGAAAUGCGUAGAUAUCGGAAGGAACACCAGUGGCGAAGGCGGCUUCCUGGACCAGUACUGACACUGAGGCGCGAAAGCGUGGGGAUCAAACAGG